rnacentral:lncRNA from 1 species
GAUCUCGUCCACGUCGCCCGGCGGGUAGAGGCGCUCCUGGCCGGGCCCGCGCUUCUGCAGCUGGGCGCCGUAAGUGUAGCCUUCGCCGAAGAAGUACUUGUUGCGCAGUGGGGCCCGGUCCACCGUGUGCUCGUUGUACAGGCCCUUCUCAGCGCGGGACACCACCUCGUCAAUGCGGGCCUCGAUCUUGGCGCACUCGUCCUGGCUGAAGAGGCGCAUCUGGCGGAUGCCGCUCUUCACCUUGCGCGCCUCCUCCUCCUUCUGCAGCUGCUGCUCCUCAUAGUCGCUGCGCUCGGGGUCCGAGUCCUCCUGAUACUUGCGCUUGGCCCCGGACACAGGAUGGAGUUUCGCUCUGUCGCCAGGCUGGAGUGCAAUGGCGCGAUCUCGGCUCACUGCAACCUCCGCCUCCCAGGUUUAAGCGAUUCUCCUGCCUCAGCCUCCCGAGUAGCUGAGACUACAGAGAUACCAGGGUUGUGCGCACACAGAGGAAAGGCCAUGUGAGGACACAGUGAGGACAGCUGUCUGCAAACCACCAAAGAAACCAAACCUGCUGACACCUUGACCUUGGACCGCCAGCCUCC